ensembl:lncRNA
GGGGUGCUUAUAAAACUGACUCAGUGUGUGUGAGGUUCUUUAGGUGGAUAUGGGGCGGGUAUAAAACUGACUGAGUGUGUGUGAGGUUAUUUAGGUGAAUAUGGGUUGGUUAUAAAACUGACUGAUGGGUGUGUGAGGUUCUUUAGGUGAAUAUGGGGAGCUUAUAAAACUGACUGAGUGUGUGUGAGGUUCGAGGUUCUUUAGGUGGAUAUGGGGAGCUUAUAAAACUGACUGAUGGGGUGUACAAUGUGAAAAUGUAGAAGUGGAGGCUGUGAUGUUUUGAUGAAUACAUAAAACUCAUCAAACCGCAUUUGCAGCAGAAAAUGAAGAAGUGGCAAAGAGCUGGAGCACGAGCCCAG